rnacentral:rRNA from 1 species
CAGCCGUAAACAAUGUGCGUUAGGUGUGUCGGUAACCACGUGUUACUGAUGCGCCGAAGAGAAAUCGUGAAACGCACCACCUGGGAAGUACGGUCGCAAGGCUGAAACUUAAAGGAAUUGGCGGGGGAGCACCACAACAGGUGGAGCCUGCGGUUCAAUUGGAUUCAACGCCGAAAAACUCACCAGGAGCGACGGAUAUGUGAAGGUCAAGCUGAUGACUUUACCUGAUUUUCCGAGAGGUGGUGCAUGGCGUAGUCGUGU